GGAAUAUUGCACAAUGGGCGAAAGCCUGAUGCAGCGACGCCGCGUGAGGGAUGACGGCCUUCGGGUUGUAAACCUCUUUCAGUAGGGAAGAAGCGAAAGUGACGGUACCUGCAGAAGAAGCGCCGGCUAACUACGUGCCAGCAGCCGCGGUAAUACGUAGGGCGCAAGCGUUAUCCGGAUUUAUUGGGCGUAAAGAGCUCGUAGGCGGUUUGUCGCGUCUGCCGUGAAAGUCCGAGGCUCAACCUCGGAUCUGCGGUGGGUACGGGCAGACUAGAGUGAUGUAGGGGAGACUGGAAUUCCUGGUGUAGCGGUGAAAUGCGCAGAUAUCAGGAGGAACACCGAUGGCGAAGGCAGGUCUCUGGGCAUUUACUGACGCUGAGGAGCGAAAGCAUGGGGAGCGAACAGGAUUAGAUACCCUGG
rnacentral:rRNA from 1 species